rnacentral:rRNA from 1 species
AGGGAAUAUUGGCCAAUGGGUGAGAGCCUGAACCAGCCAUGCCGCGUGCAGGAAGAAAGCCUUCUGGGUUGUAAACUGCUUUUAUCUGGGGAUAAAAUACCCGUGCGCGGGGAAUUGAAGGUACCAGAUGAAUAAGCCACGGCUAACUACGUGCCAGCAGCCGCGGUAAUACGUAGGUGGCAAGCGUUGUCCGGAUUUAUUGGGUUUAAAGGGUGCGUAGGCGGUCCUAUAAGUCAGUGGUGAAAUACGGCAGCUCAACUGUCGAGGUGCCAUUGAUACUGUAGGACUAGAGUACUGUUGAGGUAGGCGGAAUGGACGGUGUAGCGGUGAAAUGCUUAGAUAUCGUCCAGAACACCGAUAGCGAAGGCAGCUUACUAAAGAGUAACUGACGCUGAGGCACGAAAGUGUGGGGAUCAAAC